UGGGGAACAUGACCUUCGGCGGGGGAUAGCCGGCCCAACGGCCGGGUAAUACCGCGUACGACCACAUGGGGACGUCCCUGAGUGGUGAAAGCAGCAAUGCGCCGAAAGAGUGCCUCGCGGCCUAUCAGCUAGUUGGUGGGGUAAUGGCUCACCAAGGCGACGACGGGUAGCUGGUCUGAGAGGAUGGCCAGCCACAUUGGGACUGAGACACGGCCCAGACUCCGUACGGGAGNAG
rnacentral:rRNA from 1 species